AUGACGAGUCCCAAAUAGGACGAAAUGCACAUCCUGAAU
rnacentral:hammerhead_ribozyme from 1 species